UACAGAGGGUGCAAGCGUUGUUCGGAAUCAUUGGGCGUAAAGCGCGCGUAGGCGGCGGGAUAAGUCAGAUGUGAAAGCCCAGGGCUCAACUCUGGAAGUGCAUUUGAAACUGUCUCGCUUGAGUCCCGGAGAGGGUGGUGGAAUUCCCGGUGUAGAGGUGAAAUUCGUAGAUAUCGGGAGGAACAUCAGUGGCGAAGGCGGCCACCUGGCCGGAGACUGACGCUGAGGUGCGAAAGUGUGGGUAGCAAACAGG
rnacentral:misc_RNA from 1 species